UACGUAGGGUGCAAGCGUUGUCCGGAAUUAUUGGGCGUAAAGAGCUCGUAGGCGGUUUGUUGCGUCGGCUGUGAAAUCCCGAGGCUCAACCUCGGGUCUGCAGUCGAUACGGGCAGACUAGAGGUAGGUAGGGGAGAAUGGAAUUCCCGGUGUAGCGGUGAAAUGCGCAGAUAUCAGGAGGAACACCGAUGGCGAAGGCAGGUCUCUGGGCCGAUACUGACGCUGAGGAGCGAAAGCGUGGGGAGCGAACAGG
rnacentral:rRNA from 1 species